UUGAGCGCUUUAGAGGUACACGGAAUUCUGUGUGUAGGGGUAAAAUCCGUUGAUACACAGAGGAACACCAAAAGCGAAAGCAGUGUACUGGAAAGUUGCUGACACUCAUGGACGAAAGUGUGGGGAGCAAACAGGAUUAGAUACCCUGGUAGUCCACACCCUAAACUAUGGAUACUAGGUAUUAGAGGAUUCGACCCCUCUGGUGCCGUCGCUAACGCAUUAAGUAUCCCGCCUGGGAAGUACGGUCGCAAGAUUAAAACUCAAAGGAAUAGACGGGGACCCGCACAAGCGGUGGAGCAUCUGGUUUAAUUCGAUAGUAAGCGAGGAACCUUACCCAGACUUGACAUCCCAAGAAUCUUCUGGAAACAGAGGAGUGCCUUACGGAACUUGGAGACAGGUGCUGCAUGGUUGUCGUCAGCUCGUGCCUUGAGGUGUUCGGUUAAGUCCGUAAACGAGCGCAACCCAUGUCCUGUGUUGCACAUUUCACAGGAGACUGCCGAUUCAAAGUCGGAGGAAGGUAUGGAUGACGUCAAAUCAGCAUGGCCCUUAUGUCUGGGGCGACACAGGUGCUACAAUGGACAAUAUAGCAGGUUGCAAUCCCGUAAGGGGGAGCCAAUCCAUAAAUUUGUCCUAAGUUCGGAUUGAGGGCUGCAACUCGCCCUCAUGAAGCUGGAAUCGCUAGUAACCGCGCAUCAGCCAUGGCGCGGUGAAUAAGUUCCUGGGUCUUGUACUCACCGCCCGUCACACUAUGAAAGGU
rnacentral:rRNA from 1 species